AGAGUUUGAUCCUGGCUCAGGAUGAACGCUGGCGGCGUGCCUAACACAUGCAAGUCGAACGUGAGAGCUUAGCAAUAGGCUUGAAAGUGGCGAACGGGUGAGUAACACGUAGGUAACCUGCCGCGCAGAGGGGGAUAACCACUGGAAACGGUGGCUAAUACCGCAUGGUACCAACUUGAUGGGAAUCGGGUUGGUUAAAACCUUGGUGCUGCGCGAGGGGCCUGCGUCCGAUUAGUUAGUUGGCGGGGUAACGGCCCACCAAGACGAUGAUCGGUAGCUAGUCUGAGAGGAUGAUUAGCCACACGGGAACUGAGACACGGUCCCGACUCCUACGGGGGGCAGCAGUGAGGAAUAUUGCACAAUGGACGCAAGUCUGAUGCAGCAACGCCGCGUGGAGGAUGACAGUCUUUGGAUUGUAAACUCCUUUUCUCAGGGAAGAGAAUGGACGGUACCUGAGGAAUAAGUCACGGCUAACUACGUGCCAGCAGCCGCGGUAAUACGUAGGUGGCGAGCGUUAUCCGGAAUUACUGGGCGUAAAGCGCACGCAGGCGGUCUCUUAAGUUUGACGUGAAAGCUCCCGGCUUAACUGGGAGAGGUCGUUGAAGACUGGGAGACUUGAGGCAAUGAGAGGGGUGUAGAAUUCCAGGUGUAGUGGUGGAAUGCGUAGAUAUCUGGAGGAAUACCAGUGGCGAAAGCGGCACCCUAGCGUUGUUCUGACGCUCAUGUGCGAAAGCGUGGGGAGCGAACGGGAUUAGAUACCCCGGUAGUCCACGCCGUAAACGAUGAACACUAGGUGUAGGUGAUGUGAAAGUUAUCUGUACCGAAGCCAACGCGUUAAGUGUUCCGCCUGGGGAGUACGGCCGCAAGGCUAAAACUUAAAUGAAUUGACGG
rnacentral:rRNA from 1 species